GCUUUCUUCUUGGGCUUUGUUUUUCUGAAUUGGGAAGUAGAAAAUGCCCUUAUGGAAAAUGUGAGGAUCUUGUCUUCUGGGGGCUCCCAGCCUGGCAGGGGAGAAAGGCAAAGGCCCUCACGGAGUCAUUCAUUGAUUCAUCCACAAAUACUUCCUGAGCCUGUCUGAGGGACCAUGCUCAGGCCUGGGCAGACAGCAGAGACCCAAGGAAAGAACAGAACUUGGGCUCUGGGGCCAAAUCGUGGCUCGGCCACUUGGCGGGUUCUUCACCUGUAACGUGUUGAGAAAGUGACGUAAAGUCAGAGCCAGGAGUGGGCAUCCUGAGUGCUCAGCUGCCAUUGCUAAGACUCACAAUCGCAAGGGAAGGCAGAGACAGAAGUGAGGGUUCCUAAGUGGAAGGUACUCAUAAAGCCUUGGCUGAAUAUGUAUGGCUGACACAGGGGUGUCUGUGUUUGCCACCAAAGGGUGGCCCUGGGCUGGGAUUACACACGGAGAGAAGGCGGGAGGAAAGUCAGGGAGCCUCAGACCAUUGGAGGCUGCAUCUAUUGACCUCUGAUCCCCACAGGCAUGGGUGUGGGUGUGGGUGUGACUGGCUCAAGGGUCAGUGCCCACCAGAGAACUGGACCAUAGAUGAGCUGGACUUUUCCAACCCUGCCAGCCUGGGCCAUCUCAAGGGUGCUAUUGGUUGUGAGGGG
rnacentral:lncRNA from 1 species